rnacentral:lncRNA from 1 species
GUUAUGAACCCAGGUGACUUGACUCCAGAGUUACAACCCCACUAAUGAGAAGUGAUUUUUGGCCACGUUGAAGUCAUGACCGGUUUCCCUGGGAAGUCAACAGAAGUUUGGCAGGUGCGUGAGCUCCGCAGGGCAGAGAGCAAGAGGAGAGGUGAGCUCAGAAGGUAAUCGUAAAAUUUGGACACCUCUCUGCAGCUUUAAUGACUCAAACCUAAAAUAGUACUCAGGGAAAGACAGAGUUUGGAAGAAUUUUGAAUUGGGAGUUGGCUAUUUUGGUUGUUUUCUUCUGAUCUGGAAACACUGGGGGAGGGGUGGUUCUUCUACUGAAGUAAACAGGAAUUGUACACAAAGCAGGACUCACAUAAGAGUGAGGGGAUGUCCUACCAAUGCCCACGAUGACCCACUAACAUCCAGAUUUCUACAGUGGAGUUCCCUGGCCUUUACAUAGCAGUGGGCAAGUCCAUGAGAAACAAUGUGGCAGGUGGACUAAGGAAAAAUGGAAGCAUGAUGUGGAUUUUCUUUUCUUUGCAUCUCUUUGUUUUGAUCAUACUGCUCUUUAUCAAAAUGCCUUUCUUCAAUUUCCUCAGCCCAGCAGUUUGAAUAUUUGCAUGAAGUAGGCACAUAUCACUACAUAUGAGCCAUGAAAUGUAUUUGAAAAUAAAUGUUUUAAUUAAAAUUGACAUUUCUGAG